UACGUAGGGGGCAAGCGUUGUCCGGAUUCAUUGGGCGUAAAGAGCGUGUAGGCGGCCAGGUAGGUCGGUUGUGAAAACUGGAGGCUCAACCUUCAGAGGUCGACCGAAACCAUCUGGCUAGAGUCCGGGAGAGGAGAGUGGAAUUCCCAGUGUAGCGGUGAAAUGCGUAGAUAUUGGGAGGAACACCAGUGGCGAAGGCGGCUCACUGGACCGGAACUGACGCUGAGGCGCGAAAGCGUGGGGAGCAAACAGG
rnacentral:rRNA from 1 species